GAUGAACGCUGGCGGCGUGCCUAAUACAUGCAAGUCGAGCGAAUGGAUUAAGAGCUUGCUCUUAUGAAGUUAGCGGCGGACGGGUGAGUAACACGUGGGUAACCUGCCCAUAAGACUGGGAUAACUCCGGGAAACCGGGGCUAAUACCGGAUAACAUUUUGAACCGCAUGGUUCGCACUUGAAAGGCGGCUUCGGCUGUCACUUAUGGAUGGAACCGCGUCGCAUUAGCUAGUUGGUGAGGUAACGGCUCACCAAGGCAACGAUGCGUAGCCGACCUGAGAGGGUGAUCGGCCACACUGGGACUGAGACACGGCCCAGACUCCUACGGGAGGCAGCAGUAGGGAAUCUUCCGCAAUGGACGAAAGUCUGACGGAGCAACGCCGCGUGAGUGAUGAAGGCUUUCGGGUCGUAAAACUCUGUUGUUAGGGAAGAACAAGUGCUAGUUGAAUAAGCUGGCACCUUGACGGUACCUAACCAGAAAGCCACGGCUAACUACGUGCCAGCAGCCGCCGCGG
rnacentral:rRNA from 1 species